CUGGAUAAAUUCGUGGGAGUCCGUUCUUUCGAAGAAAAAUGAGGAGGAAGGGAUUGAAAGCGAAAUCUGUGUGUGGAAGAAAAGGAAUCAAGGAUGCUGCGGAUUUAACUUCCUCAGCUUGGUUGAGUAAGAGUAAACAGGAACAAGAAUGGCUGUGAUUGUUGCAGCAAAAAAUAUGCCCUUUAGUCACUUUCAAGACGAUGAAUAGAAGUUCUAGACCGGAUGUUGACUGUAAGCAACAGCAAAUUCCCUUCCUUCCUUCCUGUGCAUUCUUUCUUUUCUGGGUCAGUGCUGACACUGAUGCACCAUUCAUCAAACUUGUUUCUUGAUAGUUCUAAUGCAACCUAACAGAUAAACUGAAAUCCACGUGUUAUGCUGUUCUAAAUCUCAAGUUGCUUAGCCAAGUCGUCGACAUGUCUUGGUAUGUAGUGCUUCAUUUGUUGCAGUUCUUACCUUAAAUUGCUUUCUCACACCAUUACAAGUACCGGCUGAAGAUAAAUCAACAGGAAGAAUAGGAUGACGUAGUUGUUGGGGCCAUCAAUUCAUUGUUUGAUCCUAACGAGAAGAAAAAAUCCGGGAGAUUUUUGCCAAAGGCAAGCUUAAAAGUCAGCUAGAGAUGUUGUGAAGAACCUCCCCGAGUCACUCGAGGAAGAUCCCAAGGAUGUGUUGCCGUGAGAUAUGCAUCUUCAACGUGUUACCGUUUGGAGAGUUGUGGCAUUCUGCCACAAUUUACUUUCUUGGGGUUCACUUGCAGGAAUCAUAUGUCCAAGACACCCCCUAAGGCUGGUUCAUCACCACUCCCGGAAGAGGUCAGGUCUGAGAUAUUGAAUGAUUUGGAGAAGAAAUUUUGUAGCAGUCGAGGAAUUAAGCUCGAGUAACCAGAAGCGCAUCACCUAAACUACCCCGAUGCCAACUGUUUUCUGGAUAAGAAAUUCAGGCUGUGCCUGUGAUAUCUAUAUGCAAUCACCUCCAUUUAAGUACGGAAAGAAAACUAGGAACUUGAGAGCAAAAUAUGCCGAGGCCUUGAAAGUAGGAAAUAUACGACACUACUUCAAGGGUUACUAAGAAAUCCUUCACUAUCAUUUUGUAGAUUCAUCAUUCAUGCAAUACAAACACUUGUAAGGUUUUUUUUUAACAUCCAUCAUGAAUACAAGAUGGUUUAAGCAAA